rnacentral:rRNA from 1 species
UACGGGGGGAGCAAGCGUUGUUCGGAUUUACUGGGCGUAAAGGGCGCGUAGGCGGUCAGCACAAGUCAGUUGUGAAAUCUCCGGGCUUAACUCGGAAAGGUCACUGAUACUGUGCGACUAGAGUGCAGAAGAGGCAAGUGGAAUUCCCGGUGUAGCGGUGAAAUGCGCAGAUAUCGGGAGGAACGACCAAUGGCGCAAGGC